GACAGAGGGUGCAAACGUUGUUCGGAAUUACUGGGCGUAAAGCGCGUGUAGGCGGCUAAGUAAGUCGGGCGUGAAAUCCCACGGCUCAACCGUGGAAGUGCACUCGAAACUGCAUAGCUAGAGUCCUGGAGAGGAAGGUGGAAUGCUUGGUGUAGAGGUGGAAUUCGUAGAUAUCAAGCGGAACACCGGUGGCGAAGGCGGCCUUCUGGACAGUGACUGACGCUGAGACGCGAAGGCCAGGGGAGCAAACGGG
rnacentral:rRNA from 1 species